rnacentral:rRNA from 1 species
AAAGGGAUGCUAAUACCGCAUACGCCUACGGGGGAAAGCAGGGGAUCUUCGGACCUUGCGCUAAUAGAUGAGCCUAAGUCGGAUUAGCUAGUUGGUGGGGUAAAGGCCUACCAAGGCGACGAUCUGUAGCGGGUCUGAGAGGAUGAUCCGCCACACUGGGAUUGAGACACGGCCCAGAUUCUUACGGGAGGCACCAGUGGGGAAUAUUGGCCAAUGGGGGGAAUCCUGAUCCAGCCAUGCCGCGUGUGUGAAGAAGGCCUUUUGUUUGUAAAGCACUUUAAGCGAGGAGGAGGCGCUCUAGGUUAAUACCCUAGAUGCGUGGACGUUACUAGCCGAAUAAGCACCGGUUAAUUCUGUGCCACCAGCCGCGGUAAUACAGAGGGUCCGAGCGUUUAUCGGAUUUACUGGGCGUAAAGCGCGCCUAGGUGGUUAAUUAAUUCAAAUGUGAAAUCCCCGAGUCUAACUUGGGAAUUCCAUUGGAUACUGGUUAGCUGGAGUAUGGGGGAGGAAGGUGGAAUUCCAGGGGUACCGGUGAAAUGGGUAGAGAUUGGGAGGAAUACCGAUGGGGAAGGCAGCCAUUUGUCUUAAUACUGACACUGAGGUGCGAAAGCAUGGGGAGCAACCAGGAUUAGUUACCCUGUUAGUCCAUGCCUUAAAGGAUGUUUAUUAGCCGAGGGGCCUCGAGGCUUUAGUGGCGCAAGCUAACGCGAUAAGUAGUCCGCCUGGGA